rnacentral:rRNA from 1 species
CUACGGGGGGCUGCAGUGAGGAAUAUUGCACAAUGGGGGGAACCCUGAUGCAGCAACGCCGCGUGGAGGAUGACGCAUUUCGGUGUGUAAACUCCCUUUAUAUGUCAAGAAAAUGACGGUAGCAUAUGAAUAAGCACCGGCUAACUCCGUGCCAGCAGCCGCGGUAAUACGGAGGGUGCAAGCGUUACUCGGAAUCACUGGGCGUAAAGGACGCGUAGGCGGGUUGGAAAGUCAGGUGUGAAAUCCUACAGCUUAACUGUAGAACUGCACUUGAAACUUGUAAUCUAGAGUAUGGGAGGGGGAGAUGGAAUUAGUGGUGUAGGGGUAACAUCCGUAGAUAUCACUAGGAAUACCUAAAGCGAAGGCGAUCUCCUGGAACAUUACUGACGCUAAGGCGUGAAAGCGUGGGGAGCAAACAGGAUUAGAUACCCCUGUAGUC